rnacentral:tRNA from 1 species
CAGAAAAUAGUUUAAAAAAUAAUAAUUUUGGAGAUUAUAGACAAAGAAAAUAUUUCUUUUUUUCUGA